rnacentral:rRNA from 1 species
GACGAACGCUGGCGGCGUGCUUAAUACAUGCAAGUCGAGCGAACAGACGAGCUGUUUGUUGCUCUGUCGUUAGCGGCGGACGGGUGAGUAACACGUGGAUCACCUACCUAUUGGCCUGGGCUAACUUCGAGACCCCGGAGAUAAUACCGGAUUAUCUAUUGAACUGCAUGGUUCUAUAGUGAAAGGAGGAUUUGCUGUCAGUUGUUGAUGGUUACGCGCCGCCGUAGCUAGUUGGUAAGGUAAUGGCUUACCACGGCAACGAUGCGGAGUCGCCCUGAGAGGGUGAGCGGGCACGCUGAAACUGAGACACGGUCCAGACUCCGACGGGAGGGAGCAGUAGGGGAUCGUCCGAAAGGGGCGAAAGCCGGACGGAGCAGCGCCGCGGGAGUGAGGAAGAUGUUCGGAUCGGAGAACUCUGUUAUUAGGGAAGAACAAAUGGGUAAGUGACUAGGCGCGUGUUGACGGUACCGAAACAAGAAGCCACGGCUAACUACGUG